rnacentral:rRNA from 1 species
GACGAACGCUGGCGGCGUGCCUAAUACAUGCAAGUAGAACGCUGAAGGAGGAGCUUGCUCUUCUGGAUGAGUUGCGAACGGGUGAGUAACGCGUAGGUAACCUGCCUGGUAGCGGGGGAUAACUAUUGGAAACGAUAGCUAAUACCGCAUAACAGUAGAUGUUGCAUGACAUUUACUUAAAAGGUGCAAUUGCAUCACUACCAGAUGGACCUGCGUUGUAUUAGCUAGUUGGUGGGGUAACGGCUCACCAAGGCGACGAUACAUAGCCGACCUGAGAGGGUGAUCGGCCACACUGGGACUGAGACACGGCCCAGACUCCUACGGGAGGCAGCGGUAGGGAAUCUUCGGCAAUGGACGGAAGUCUGACCGAGCAACGCCGCGUGAGUGAAGAAGGUUUUCGGAUCGUAAAGCUCUGUUGUAAGAGAAGAACGAGUGUGAGAGUGGAAAGUUCACACUGUGACGGUAUCUUACCAGAAAGGGACGGCUAACUACGUG